rnacentral:rRNA from 1 species
CCUACGGGAGGCAGCAGUGAGGAAUAUUGGUCAAUGGUCGUAAGACUGAACCAGCCAAGUAGCGUGAAGGAUGACGGCCCUAUGGGUUGUAAACUGCUUUUAUGCGGGGAUAAAAUGCGCCACGUGUGGUGUUUUGUAGGUACCGCAUGAAUAAGGAUCGGCUAAUUCCGUGCCAGCAGCCGCGGUAAUACGGAAGGUCCGGGCGUUAUCCGGAUUUAUUGGGUUUAAAGGGAGCGCAGGCGGCUUGUUAAGCCAGUUGUGAAAGGUUGCGGCUCAACCGUGAAACUGCAGUGAAAACUGGCAGUCUUGAGUACAGUAGAGGUGGGCGGAAUUCGUGGUGUAGCGGUGAAAUGCUUAGAUAUCACGAAGAACUCCGAUUGCGAAGGCAGCCUACCGGACUGUUACUGACGCUGAGGCUCGAAAGUGCGGGUAUCAAACAGGAUUAGAUACCCCAGUAGUC